rnacentral:rRNA from 1 species
CCUACGGGGUGCUGCAGUGAGGAAUAUUGGUCAAUGGACGAGAGUCUGAACCAGCCAAGUAGCGUGAAGGAUGACUGCCCUAUGGGUUGUAAACUUCUUUUAUAUGGGAAUAAAAUGUUCCACGUGUGGGCUUUUGUAUGUACCAUAUGAAUAAGGAUCGGGUACCUCCGUGCCAGCAGCCGCGGUAAUAAGGGGGAUCCGAGCGUUAUCCGGAUUUAUUGGGUUUAAAGGGAGCGUAAGUGGAUUGUUAAGUCAGUUGUGAAAAUUUGCGGCCCAACCCUAAAAUUGCAGUUGAAACUGGGAGUCUUGAGUACGUGAGAGGUAUGCGGAAUGCGUGGUGUAGCGGUGAAAUGCUUAGAUAUCACGAAGAACUCCGAUUGCGAAGGCAGCACACUGGACUACAACUGACACUGAGGCACGAAAGUGUGGGUAUCGAACAGGAUUAGAUACCCCAGUAGUC